UAGGUUUUUUACUUAUUUGUU
rnacentral:piRNA from 1 species